AAACGAUAGCUAAUACCGCAUAACAGUAGAUGUUGCAUGACAUUUGCUUAAAAGGUGCAAUUGCAUCACUACCAGAUGGACCUGCGUUGUAUUAGCUAGUUGGUGGGGUAACGGGCUCACCAAGGCGACGAUACAUAGCCGACCUGAGAGGGUGAUCGGCCACACUGGGACUGAGACACGGCCCAG
rnacentral:rRNA from 1 species